CACAGGUGACCAAGUCAGACACAGGACGAUACAUCUGUGGUUAUGGAAACCCUCUGUCUCCUGAUUCAUUUGUCGGUGAUUAUCUUCUUGUCAUUGAUGAGAAAAUGACACAAACAUGGAGGCCAUCAGAGAAGACACCGGAACUCAGUAGUUACUUCACAAUCCUUUAUUCACCUUCAACCAUUUAUUCACCUUCUAGAAGAGGAGAUGUGCAUGGCCCGGCUGUCUGCAAAAUCUCAACCCUUUGUCUGUUACACACAGUUUCAUAGAAGUGACCC